UCGAGCGCGAACGACCCCUUCGGGGGACUAGUAGAGCGGCGGACGGGUGAGUAAUACAUGGGUAAUCUGCCCUUGAGCUUGGGAUAACCCCGCGAAAGUGGGGCUAAUACCUGAUAAGACCACAUAACUUAAGUUACGUGGUAAAAGGUGGCCUGUAUUUAUACUGGCUAUCACUUGAGGAUGAGCCCGUGGCCUAUCAGCUUGUUGGUGAGGUAAGAGCUUACCAAGGCUAUGACGGGUAGCUGGUCUGAGAGGACGACCAGCCACACUGGGACUGAGACACGGCCCAGACUCCUACGGGAGGCAGCAGUGGGGAAUAUUGGGCAAUGGGCGAAAGCCUGACCUAGCGACGCCGCGUGGGUGAUGAAGGCCUUCGGGUUGUAAAGCCCUUUCGUGCGGAAAGAACAGUCCUGUGGUUAAUAUCCACGGGAUUUGACGGUACCGCAGGAAGAAGCACCGGCUAACUCCGUGCCAGCAGCCGCGGUAAUACGGAGGGUGCAAGCGUUGUUCGGAAUUAUUGGGCGUAAAGGGCGCGUAGGCGGUUGUGUAAGUCAGAUGUGAAAUACUUCGGCUUAACCGGAGAACUGCAUUUGAAACUGCAUAACUAGAGUACAGGAGAGGGAAAUGGAAUUCCCGGUGUAGAGGUGAAAUUCGUAGAUAUCGGGAGGAACACCAGUGGCGAAGGCGAUUUCCUGGCCUGAUACUGACGCUGAGGCGCGAAAGCGUGGGGAGCGAACGGGAUUAGAUACCCCGGUAGUCCACGCUGUAAACGAUGCAUACUAGGCAUUGGGAGUAUCGACCCUCCUUGUGCCGAAGCUAACGCGUUAAGUAUGCCGCCUGGGGAGUACGGCCGCAAGGCUAAACUCAAGGAAUUGGCGGGGACUCGCACAAGCGGUGGAGCG
rnacentral:rRNA from 1 species